rnacentral:rRNA from 1 species
GUCCAGACUCCUACGGGAGGCAGCAGUGGGGAAUAUUGCACAAUGGGGGAAACCCUGAUGCAGCGACGCCGCGUGAGUGAAGAAGUAUUUCGGUAUGUAAAGCUCUAUCAGCAGGGAAGAAAAUGACGGUACCUGACUAAGAAGCCCCGGCUAACUACGUGCCAGCAGCCGCGGUAAUACGUAGGGGGCAAGCGUUAUCCGGAUUUACUGGGUGUAAAGGGAGCGUAGACGGCAUGGCAAGUCAGAUGUGAAAGCCCGGGGCUCAACCCCGGGACUGCAUUUGAAACUGUCAGGCUGGAGUGCAGGAGAGGUAAGUGGAAUUCCCAGUGUAGCGGUGAAAUGCGUAGAUAUUAGGAGGAACACCAGUGGCGAAGGCGGCUUACUGGACUGUAACUGACGUUGAGGCUCGAAAGCGUGGGGAGCAAACAGGAUUAGAUACCCCCGUA